AUUGAACGCUGGCGGCAGGCCUAACACAUGCAAGUCGAACGAGUGGCGGACGGGUGAGUAAUAGCUGGGAAACUGCCCGAUGGAGGGGGAUAACUAAUGGAAACGGUAACUACUACUGCAUACAAUCGGAUGUGGCCAGAUGGGAUGAGCUUGUAGGUGAGGUAACGGCUCACCAAGGCGACGAUCCCUAGCUGGUCUGAGAGGUUGACCAGGCACAUUGGAACUGAGACACGGUCCAGACUCCUACGGGAGGCAGCAGUGGGGAAUAUUGCACAAUGGGCGAAAGCCUGAUGCAGCCAUGCCGCGUGUGUGAAGAAGGCCUUCGGGUUGUAAAGUACUUUAAGUUGGGAGGCGUUACCCGCAGAAGAAGCACCGGCUAACUCCGUGCCAGCAGCCGCGGUAAUAC
rnacentral:rRNA from 1 species